rnacentral:rRNA from 1 species
GACGAACGCUGGCGGCGUGCUUAACACAUGCAAGUCGAACGGAAAGGCCCUGCUUUUGUGGGGUGCUCGAGUGGCGAACGGGUGAGUAACACGUGAGUAACCUGCCCUUGACUUUGGGAUAACUUCAGGAAACUGGGGCUAAUACCGGAUAGGAGCUCCUGCUGCAUGGUGGGGGUUGGAAAGUUUCGGCGGUUGGGGAUGGACUCGCGGCUUAUCAGCUUGUUGGUGGGGUAGUGGCUUACCAAGGCUUUGACGGGUAGCCGGCCUGAGAGGGUGACCGGCCACAUUGGGACUGAGAUACGGGCCAGACUGCUACGUGAGGCAGCAGUGGGGAAUAUUGCACAAUGGGCGGAAGCCUGAUGCAGCAACGCCGCGUGCGGGAUGACGGCUUUCGGGUUGGAAACCGCUUUAGCCUGUGACGAAGCGUGAGUGACGGUAAUGGGUAAAGAAGCAACGGCUAACUACGUG